GACGUAGGGCGCGAGCGUUGUCCGGAAUUACUGGGCGUAAAGGGCUCGUAGGCGGCCAACUAAGUCGGAUGUGAAAUCCCCAGGCUCAACCUGGGAACUGCAUCCGAUACUGGAUGGCUUGAAUCCGGGAGAGGGAUGCAGAAUUCCAGGUGUAGCGGUGAAAUGCAUAGAUACCAUCCAGAACCCCGAUUGCGUAGGCAGCUGACUAGGCUGGUACUGACACUGAGGCACGAAAGCGUGGGGAGCGAACAGG
rnacentral:rRNA from 1 species